UACGUAGGGUGCAAGCGUUGUCCGGAAUUAUUGGGCGUAAAGAGCUCGUAGGCGGUCUGUCACGUCGGCUGUGAAAACCCGAGGCUCAACCUCGGGCCUGCAGUCGAUACGGGCAAACUAGAGUACUGCAGGGGAGACUGGAAUUCCUGGUGUAGCGGUGAAAUGCGCAGAUAUCAGGAGGAACACCGGUGGCGAAGGCGGUUCUCUGGGCCUUACCUGACGCUGAGGAGCGAAAGCGUGGGGAGCAAACAGG
rnacentral:rRNA from 1 species